rnacentral:tRNA from 1 species
GCCCCGGUAGCUCAGAAGAUAGAGCGACUGCCUUCGAAGCAGUGGGUCGAGGGUGCAAUUCCUUCACGGGGUA